AGUGGCAUUGCUGGGUCGUAUGAUAAAUGUAUGUUUGACUUUAUAAGAAACUGUCAAACUGUUUUCCAAAGUGGCUGUACCAUUUUGCAUUCCCACGAGCAUU
rnacentral:pre_miRNA from 1 species